GGAAUCUUCCACAAUGGACGAAAGUCUGAUGGAGCAACGCCGCGUGAGUGAAGAAGGUCUUCGGAUCGUAAAACUCUGUUGUUAGAGAAGAACACGAGUGAGAGUAACUGUUCAUUCGAUGACGGUAUCUAACCAGCAAGUCACGGCUAACUACGUGCCAG
rnacentral:rRNA from 1 species